AUUCUUUGUUUUGCAUAGAAUGGUGGGGAGGACCCAAGGGGAGUUUUAACUCCAGGCUAUUUUGAGCCAUGUAACUUUCCUUCAUCAGCCACCCCAGGAAUGCAGACAUUGUCACCUUGCCCAUCAUAUUAGAGGCCCUGGAGUGGGAAGGCCUAGGUUAUCCAAGAGGUCCGGAUGUUACUGGGGUUCCUAGGGCUCACCGAGAAUGAUCAUCUUCUACUUCUCAACCACAGCUGACCCAAUAACCAGUCUCCUUGGGAAAGGGAAGAAAUUUGUCUAUUCUUGGCCAGGUUGCAUCUUUUCAGCAGUUGAAAUUGUCCACUCUCAUUCUCUGAUCAACUUGUCUAACCAAUGCAAUCAACUACUCAACCCAAACCUCCUACUAAACCAAGUUUCCUAGUGGGUAAUUGCUGAAGUGAGAAGGAACAGGUCAUAGGCUAAAAUCCCUGGAGAACUGACUUCAUAAAGCCACUGAUAAAGCCAUUGCUUCAUAUAGAACUACAACUGCCCUUUCAAAAAUCUAAUAAAUGUGCCUUAGUACUCACAUUUCAGAGCAUACUGUGGCUGGAAUAUAUGCUUUUGAAAUCUGUGGUGAAAGGAUUGCUGGAGAUGAUACACUCACUCCAUUGUUCCCCUCCCAAGACUGAGCCAUUCAUGAAAAAAGGAGAGGGUAACGGACAUAGGUCUUUCUAGAGAAUACUGCACAGCUCCUCAGAAACUCUGCUCUUGGGACCCUCUCAGAAAGCCCUGAAGGAAAAAAUCACAAUUGGGAGUGAGGUCAUGAGCUCAUGGCAUUACCUGUGCUAUUAUUACAUAUUAUUGCUUGCAAGUGUGCUGCUGCUGCAGCAAAAAGAAACAGCUUGUUCUCUGAGAUGUUGUGAUGUCUUUGAUGACCCAAGUCAUCAAACACCCACAGUCCUCGGGGAGUGCAGUUUUUCUAAAGGUAUAUCACUGGCAGUAAUAAGUCUUGGGCAAAUAUUCCUUCUGUACUCCAAGUGAUUUCUACUAUAAUCAUAAGCAACGACAGAGUUCCAGGAAGCGGACAUCAGCAGGAAGCCCGUGGAGACUCACGUCGAGCUGAGAACAGUAUGACUUCCUUGGUGGUUGAGCGGCUGAGAACCUGCCUGACAGUGCGGGACACACAGAUUUGAUCCCUGGUCCGAGAAGACUGCUCCACAUGCUGUGGAGCAGCUAAGGCUAUGUGCCGCAACUGCUGAGCCCGAGCUCUAGAGCCUGUUCUCCACAAUAAGAGAAGCCAACGCAACGAGAAAUCCAAGCAUUGGAAUUAGAGAAUGCCUGAGCACAGCAGGGAAGAUCCAGCACAGCCACAAAUAAAUAAGUUAACAAAUUAUUU
ensembl:lncRNA